rnacentral:rRNA from 1 species
GACGAACGCUGGCGGCGUACCUAAUACAUGCAAGUUGAGCGAUGAAGAUUGGUGCUUGCACCAAUUUGAAGAGCAGCGAACGGGUGAGUAACGCGUGGGGAAUCUGCCUUUGAGCGGGGGACAACAUUUGGAAACGAAUGCUAAUACCGCAUAACAACUUUAAACAUAAGUUUUAAGUUUGAAAGAUGCAAUUGCAUCACUCAAAGAUGAUCCCGCGUUGUAUUAGCUAGUUGGUGAGGUAAAGGCUCACCAAGGCGAUGAUACAUAGCCGACCUGAGAGGGUGAUCGGCCACAUUGGGACUGAGACACGGCCCAAACUCCUACGGGAGGCAGCAGUAGGGAAUCUUCGGCAAUGGACGAAAGUCUGACCGAGCAACGCCGCGUGAGUGAAGAAGGUUUUCGGAUCGUAAAACUCUGUUGGUAGAGAAGAACGUUGGUGAGAGUGGAAAGCUCAUCAAGUGACGGUAACUACCCAGAAAGGGACGGCUAACUACGUG